AUAUUUCUGCAAGCCUCAGUAAACACAUUGUAAAUUGUUUUUUCCCUAAAGUGUGUGUAUAUGGGGGGCAUAGCAAGCUAUUAGGAAAGGUAACUGCACUCACUUUCCAGUAACUGAAGCUUCCUAAUUCUGUUCAUCCCUGGAGAAUGUUGCAGAUCUUGCUCUUCCUGGUUGUAGAACUUCGUAUUAGCACAGCCCAUUGUGUCGGCUCUUUAAGUGAUGUGUCCUGCUGGAAUGCAAAAUGCAAAUGAUGCUGUCUAAAUAAAAGUGAAGUUUCAAGGUUUCAGAAAGAAGGUGACCUCAGACUGCAAUGCCUAAAAUGAGAGGCCCUUUUGAAAACACUCAGCUGUGUGACUAAAAAAAUGAAAGAGUAAAAU